AUUGAACGCUGGCGGCAGGCCUAACACAUGCAAGUCGAACGAGUGGCGGACGGGUGAGUAAUGUCUGGGAAACUGCCCGAUGGAGGGGGAUCACUACUGGAAACGGUAGCUAAUACCGCAUACCAUCGGAUGUGCCCAGAUGGGAUUAGCUAGGAGGUGGGGUAAGGGCUCACCUAGGCGAAGAUCCCUAGCUGUUCUGAGAGGAUGACCAGCCACACUGGAACGUAGACACGGUCCAGACUCCUAAGGGAGGCAGCAGUGGGGAAGAUUGCACAAGGGGCGCAAGCCUGAUGCAGCCAUGCCGCGUGUAUGAAGAAGGCCUUCGGGUUGUAAAGUACUUGCAGCGGGGAGGCGUUACCCGCAGAAGAAGCACCGGCUAACUCCGUGCCAGCAGCCGCGGUAAUUC
rnacentral:rRNA from 1 species